rnacentral:pre_miRNA from 1 species
AAAGUACUCCCUCCGUCCCAAAAUUCUUGUCUUAGAUUUGUCUAGAUAUGGAUGUAUCAAGUCACAUUUUAGUAUUAGAUACAUCCGUAUCUAGAAAAAUCUAAGACAAGAAAUUUUGGACAGAGGGAGUAGUUG